AAAAGGUGUGGGACUAUAAAUAAUAAUAGAAUUGUUGAUACUUGUAAAAUAUAAGGUUGUUAAAAAAACAGAAAUUAAAUUGUUCCUGUACCGAAACGAGCGAGGGAGCGGUAACAACUUAUCCUUACCAAUUUCCAAAGUGGUUUCCGUACUGAUACGCUGCUACGUUCGAAAAUAAAAUUUGUAGCGGCAAAUGCAACUACAGCAUCUAAAUGGUGGCCGUGAAACAUAACAAACACACUCGAGCUUACGAACGUACACACAACAUAUUACAAUUUCGUACAUACAAAUUACAACAUGAACGUAC
rnacentral:lncRNA from 1 species